rnacentral:ncRNA from 1 species
ACUCUUGCAGUUAUAUUCGGUAAAGCUAAUGAUUAGAGGCCUUGGGGGACGUAAUGUCCUCAACCUAUUCUCAAACUUUCAAUGGAUAUGGCGUCGCAGUUUCUUUAGUGAACUGCGGCGUGAAUGCGAGUUCCAAGUGGGCCAUUUUUGGUAAGCAGAACUGGCGCUGUGGGAUGAACCAAACGUGGAGUUAAGGUGCCUAACUUCUCGCUUAUGAGACCCCAUAAAAGGUGUUGGUUGAUAUUGACAGCAGGACGGUGGCCAUGGAAGUCGGUACCCGCUAAGGAGUGUGUAACAACUCACCUGCCGAAUCAACUAGCCCUGAAAAUGGAUGGCGCUUAAGCGAGAGACCUAUACUCCGCCGUCGCGGCAUGUGCGUUGUCUAGCGCCAGGUCGCGACGAGUAGGAAGGACGUGGCGGUUGCGUUGAAGGCUAUGAGCGUAGGCUCGGCUGGAGCUUCCGUCAGUGCAGAUCGUAAUGGUAGUGGCAAAUAUUCAAGUUCGAUCCUUGAAGACUGAAGUGGAGAAGGGUUCCACGUGAACAGUAGUUGGAUGUGGGUCAGUCGAUCCUAAGGUACUGGCGAAAGCCUUGUAUCAUCGGUGGCGAAAAGCUUGCUUUUUGUCCCCGCCCGUCGAAAGGGAAUAGGGUUAAUAUUCCCUAACUGAGAUGCAAAGAUUGUGUUCUUCGGAGCACAAGCGCGGUAACGCGUUCGAACUUGGUAAGUCGCUCAGAGACCGAGCUAGAGUUUUCUUCUCUAGUUAAGGAACGGACUCCCUGGAAUUGGUUCAGCCAGAGAUAGAGACGUUGUUUCCGAAAAGCACCGCGGUUUCUGUGGUGUCUCGUGCUCUCUGAACGGCCCUUUAAACACCAAGGGAGGCUAUUAAUUUGCACUCAAUCGUACCGAUAUCCGCAUUAGGUCUCCAAGGUGAACAGCCUCUAGUCGAUAGAAUAAUGUAGGUAAGGGAAGUCGGCAAACUAGAUCCGUAACUUCGGGAAAAGGAUUGGCUCCAGUGGUCGGAACGGUUGGCCAGUUGGUUGAUGCUUGUCCGGCGCUGUUCUGUCUGCUUGAUGCUUUCGGGCUGAUGGCGGCCUAGUGAUAGUGCUUGCUUGUUGACGCUUUCUGGUGUGUGCUUUGACCUCGGUCUUAGUAUCCUGAUCGUUCAUCUAAACGACUAAACUGGAACCGGUA